GGUUCCCUCUGCUGUAUCGACUUCCCCCAGAGACUGGGGAGGGUGAAAUGCAGUGCAUGCUCCUUCUGUAUUGCACCCGUCCCGGCCUGUGGGUGGGGCCAGUAUGUCGGCCAUUUUGUC
rnacentral:precursor_RNA from 10 species